GGUUUACUUGGGCCGGCAAGUACACGUUCAUUUCCCUGGUCAAGCGCAGCACCGUAGCAUAACCCUAAACCCUAAUCUAAACCCACAAAGAGAAACUGGCUCACCAUUUUGGUGGGUGUAUUGGGAUUUCAAUCAAAGAGAAGUGAGUCGAGCAGGUAUGGCUUUGCGUGGUUCCUUUACGAGAUCACUCAUUUCCACCGUUAGGGCUUCCACUUCCCGUUCAUCUCCCUCAAUUAACCGCGUUCGCACUCCUCCCAUCUCCGCCCCUCGUUCCAACACGCGCCGCUUCUCAUUCACCACUCCCAGGACAUUGGGAGCUUUGGGGUGUACUCAGUCAUUUUUGCCGUUGCACAAUGUGGUAGCUGGAACUCGAUUGACUUCUCACUUGACAGUUAACGUGCGGGCUUGCUGCGAGCUGUAUCACGGUACCUUCCAACGUUCUUGUCAGGAUCGCUAAUAGUUUCUUUGUACUUGAACACACGGUUACUGGAGCAGCACAAAGUUGCUUGAAGUUUAUGGUAGUCUUGGCGGGUAAUGCAUCUCUGACAAUCUGUUUCAGAUGCAGAAAAUAAUAGCUGUAAUUUUUCAUGUUCAGAAGAUAAACUAGAAAAUCUGUUUUUGAUGGGCAGUGUCAUAGAGAUCAAAUUUAUUUCAGUUUAGUGCUCAUUCGUGCUUGACCUAUCUUAUGUUAGCUGUCUAUUGUGCACAUACUUUUGGAGCAAUCGUGUCCCUUACUGGGACCAUCUUUUAUUGUUAAACGAUACACUGGACUACUGGAGGGAUGAUGGGCAGAUCUGCCUAAUUACUUGCUUUUGCUGCCUUUUCGUUGAACUUCUAUAGAACCCUUACUUCUAUGUUGUGUAGAUUUGAAAGGUCAUUUCUGUUAUGCCUAUCCAGGAAAAUAAAUUAGAUUUUUAUGAUGAUAGCAUUAAUCAAUCAGUACUUGUGUUCAACUAUGUAAAUUAUUUGUAUUCAAGUGGUGGCCAGUGAGAACAAUUUCUAAAUUUUUUAUCUCGAUGA